AUCUCCAGCCUUACCGCGGCUCGAAAUGGACCCCAACUGCUCCUGCACCACUGGCUGCUGCUCCUGCUGCCCCGUGGGCUGUGCCAAGUGUGCCCACGGCUGUGUCUGCAAAGGGACGUUGGAGAACUGCAGCUGCUGUGCCUGAUGUGGGAACAGCUCUUCUCCCAGAUGUUAAUAGAACAAGCUGCACAACCUGGAUUUUUUUUCAAUACGAUACUGAGCCAUUUGCUGCAUUUCUUUUUAUAUUAAAUAUGUGAGUGACAA
rnacentral:lncRNA from 1 species